UCGGGGUCUUAACUGAUACGGACGCAGCCGGGAACCGGGCGCCGCCAUGUUUGUUUACAUCCUGAGCCCCAGAUUCCUCGUCCCGCCGCGUCGACGUCACCCAUUCGGUGCGCCCAACAGAAUCCGAGCGAAGCACAGUCGACGAGGCACUCAUGCCCGCUUAUUCCGCCAUCACUCUAACUUCCUCCCUCAAGCGGCCUCUGGGCUCCAACGCCCUGGCGAUCUCCUCAGCCAGAUCCUCCGACGUCCAUGCACACGCACCUCCUUGGCCACAAUCGUCCCCUACCUCCACCUUCGGAUUCUCUCGAAGCAUUUUCAACCCCGUUCUCACCUACGGUAGCUAGCCACAGAAGUCAGCUAACGUUAGCUAGCUGGAUAACUUUUAUCAACAUUUUUACUUACCUGACUAGAUCAUAAAGGAACAAUUGUCCAGACAGAGGGUUGAGUUUACGAAUUGACGGUUUAUUAACCCAACUUUACACAGGCUACUGUUUGGCCGAAGCCCACGACAAAUAAAUGAAAGAUAACCUCGUUUGAAGGCCAGAAGUAAGAGAGAGAACAAAGGCUAAACCUGUUCUUAAUAACUUCCAAUGCUCCAUCCCCCUGCCCAACCCCCCUCCACGCCACUCCGCUAACCGCCCGGCAUCAGAACAUUCCAGGCAUUCCCGUGAUUGGCAGAUAGCAGGUUGAUUGGCAUGUCGGACCCCGCGAACACUGUGUACUGCCUUCCUCUCCUCUGAAGACCCAGUGAGGGUGGAGCUCAGUCAGAGAACUGUUGAGGGACUGGUUAGGAAGAACACUUCUACAGCCAGAGAGGGGCAGUCAAGAAAUGGAACGGCAAGGCCACAGAACAUGACAUAAGCAGAGCUGUGGGAGAUCACCUCAAUCGCCUGGUAGAGCCGGGGGUGGUGUUUACCACUCCACCACGGCUUCAGCAGGCUGGAAAAGUGGGAUUGAUGUGUUUGAUCUAUUUGUUUGUUUCAGUUUUCAGUAGUUGAAUCCUUUGACGUAUUGUUGAUUUCAACAAAUGCACUGUGUUGGUUGAAAAGUGAUACUAAACAUGCACUAUUUUGACACAGUGGAAGAUGCUGAAUUUAUACUGUUUUUCAUAAUAAGAUGGACCAAGAUGCGUGUUGCUUUUGCACAUAUUUGUUCAUUGGUUUCGCAAGAGUCUGUUGAUUGUCAGUCAUUGGGUUCAUUUGUUUUGCAAUAUGUUCAAAUGAAAUCAAGCUUUAUUUACACAGCACAUUUCAGACAUGGAUUCAACACAAUGGCUUCACAGGAAAAAACAUUAAAACAAUGAAAAUAAACAGAAAUAUUUUGUACACAAACAUAAGAGGAUAAAAAAACAGAAGGUUACCAACUAAAACUCUAAUGAGCACAUAAUUAAUAUAGGAGGGGCUCUGAAAGACACUAUGGAGGUGUCCACUGAAAGUUGACUAGUAACAACAACGGGGACCUGAAAGACACCCACCAUUAGACCCACUAAAUCUGCCCAAGAAGAGGCAAACAAAACAAAAACCCACACCAAACUUAAAGACAGGAAGCAAACCAAAAAGGUGGAGCAACUUAAGGUGUUGACACUCCAUAUCUAUCAAAACAACUGGAGCACUGGGCCAGACACUCUUAAAUAGAACUUGGACCAGCUCAGGUGAAACACCUUCCACUAACGAGAUGGACAAGCCAGCACAGGUGUAACACAUACUGACUAACGAGGUGACACCAAUCAGUGCGCCCUACGUGCUAACGAGCUAUACUUGCUACCGUCCAAACUCAAAACAUAAAUGGAAAAACCAAAGACUGUAACACCUUAAGAGAAAGCUUACCACCAACAGAAAACAACUUCC